rnacentral:rRNA from 1 species
UACGUAGGGUGCAAGCGUUGCCCGGAUUUAUUGGGCGUAAAGGGCGCGUAGGCGGCUCUGCACGUUCGUUGUGAAAUCGCCCGGCUCAACUGGGCGGGGUCAGCGGAUACGGCAGAGCUUGAGCAAGCUAGGGGGCAAUGGAAUUCCCGGUGUAGUGGUGGAAUGCGUAGAGAUCGGGAGGAACACCAGAGGCGAAGGCGGCGACCUGGACAGUAACUGACACUCAACUACGAAAGCGUGGGUAGCAAACAGG